AAAAAGUUAGUUAAAAAAUAAUAUAAUUUUGUCAAAGUUAAGUAACCAUAAGGUACUUUUUU
rnacentral:tRNA from 1 species